UAGGGAAUCUUCCGCAAUGGACGCAAGUCUGACGGAGCAACGCCGCGUGAGUGAUGAAGGUUUUCGGAUCGUAAAGCUCUGUUGCCCUAGACGAACAGCAAGAGGAGUAACUGCCUUUUGUGUGACGGUAUAGGAGAAGAAAGCCCCGGCUAACUACGUGCCAGCAGCCGCGGUAAUACGUAGGGGGCAAGCGUUGUCCGGAAUUAUUGGGCGUAAAGCGCGCGCAGGCGGUCAUUUAA
rnacentral:rRNA from 1 species